ACAACGGAGAGUUUGAUCCUGGCUCAGGAUGAACGCUGGCGGCGUGCUUAACACAUGCAAGUCGAACGAACCUUCGGGUUAGUGGCGGACGGGUGAGUAACGCGUGAGAAUCUGCCCUCAGGAGGGGGAUAACGGCUGGAAACGGCCGCUAAUACCCCAUAUGCCGCGAGGUGAAAUGAAUUUCGCCUGAGGAUGAGCUCGCGUCUGAUUAGCUAGUUGGUGGGGUAAGAGCCUACCAAGGCUUCGAUCAGUAGCUGGUCUGAGAGGAUGAUCAGCCACACUGGGACUGAGACACGGCCCAGACUCCUACGGGAGGCAGCAGUGGGGAAUUUUCCGCAAUGGGCGAAAGCCUGACGGAGCAACGCCGCGUGAGGGAUGAAGGCCUCUGGGCUGUAAACCUCUUUUAUCAAGGAAGAAGAUCUGACGGUACUUGAUGAAUAAGCCACGGCUAAUUCCGUGCCAGCAGCCGCGGUAAUACGGGAGUGGCAAGCGUUAUCCGGAAUUAUUGGGCGUAAAGCGUCCGCAGGCGGUCUUUUAAGUCUGCUGUUAAAGCGUGGAGCUUAACUCCAUUUCGGCAGUGGAAACUGGAAGACUAGAGUGUGGUAGGGGCAGAGGGAAUUCCCGGUGUAGCGGUGAAAUGCGUAGAUAUCGGGAAGAACACCAGUGGCGAAGGCGCUCUGCUGGGCCAUAACUGACGCUCAUGGACGAAAGCCAGGGGAGCGAAAGGGAUUAGAUACCCCUGUAGUCCUGGCCGUAAACGAUGAACACUAGGUGUCGGGGGAAUCGACCCCCUCGGUGUCGUAGCCAACGCGUUAAGUGUUCCGCCUGGGGAGUACGCACGCAAGUGUGAAACUCAAAGGAAUUGACGGGGGCCCGCACAAGCGGUGGAGUAUGUGGUUUAAUUCGAUGCAACGCGAAGAACCUUACCAGGGUUUGACAUCCUGCGAAUCCCUUGGAAACGAGGGAGUGCCUUCGGGAGCGCAGUGACAGGUGGUGCAUGGCUGUCGUCAGCUCGUGUCGUGAGAUGUUGGGUUAAGUCCCGCAACGAGCGCAACCCACGUCGUUAGUUGCCAGCAUUCAGUUGGGCACUCUAGCGAGACCGCCGGUGAUAAACCGGAGGAAGGUGUGGAUGACGUCAAGUCAUCAUGCCCCUUACAUCCUGGGCUACACACGUACUACAAUGCUACGGACAAAGGGCAGCAAACUCGCGAGAGCUAGCAAAUCCCAUAAACCGUGGCUCAGUUCAGAUCGUAGGCUGCAACUCGCCUACGUGAAGGAGGAAUCGCUAGUAAUCGCAGGUCAGCAUACUGCGGUGAAUACGUUCCCGGGCCUUGUACACACCGCCCGUCACACCAUGGAAGUUGGCCACGCCCGAAGCCGUUACUCCAACCCGCAAGGGAGGAGGACGCCGAAGGUGGGGCUGAUGACUGGGGUGAAGUCGUAACAAGGUAGCCGUACCGGAAGGUGCGGCUGGAUCACCUCCU
rnacentral:rRNA from 1 species